rnacentral:rRNA from 1 species
GCGGGGCCCUCCCAGUUUCCCGGGGCGGGACGCCCCACAGGGGGAGAGCCCCCUCUGGGUGGGGGCCCAGCCCCUGUGAAGCUCCUUUUACGAGUCCAGUAGUUUGGGAAUGCUGCUCUCAAAGGGGGGGAUAUGUCUUCUAUAACUAAAUACCGGGCACAGACCCAUAGCGCACAAGUAGAGUGAUCGAAAGAUGAGAAGCACUUUGAAAAGAGGGUUAAAUAGUACGUGAAAAUGUUGAAAGGGAAAAGCUUGUGACCAGACUUGGGCGUGGGGAAUCUCCCCGGGUUCUCUCCGGGGCGCUUUGCCCGUCCAAGGCCACAUCCAUUUCCCGUGGGGGGUAAAAGGGUCUCGGAAACUGGGUCUCCUCUCGGGGGUUAUAAACCCGUGUGGCAUACCCCGGGGCGGAAUGAGGAGUCGCGGCUCCCUCUACGUGCUUGCGUUAUGGUUCUCGCCGACCCCUCUUUAAACACACGAAAGGAGUCGUCUUCUUCGUAUGCGAGUGUUCGGGUGUCAAAACCCCUACGCGUAAUGAAAGUGAACGCAGGUGAGAGCUUCGGCGCAUCAUCGACCGAUCCGGAUGUUCUCGGUAUGGAUUUGAGUAAGAGCAUACGGGGCCGGACCCGAAAGAAGGUGAACUAUGCCUGUAUAUGGUGAAGCCAGAGGAAACUCUUGUGGAGCGUCUCACGCGGUUCUGACGUGCAAAUCGAUCGUCAAAUAUGGGCAUGGGG